GCUCAGUUGGUUAAGCAGCCGACUCUUGAUUUCAGCUCAGGUUAUGAUCUCAAGGUUCCUGGGUUCGAGUCCCACACUGAGCU
rnacentral:tRNA from 1 species